GACGAACGCUGGCGGCGUGCUUAACACAUGCAAGUCGAACGGAAAGGCCCUGCUUUUGUGGGGUGCUCGAGUGGCGAACGGGUGAGUAACACGUGAGUAACCUGCCCUUGACUUUGGGAUAACUUCAGGAAACUGGGGCUAAUACCGGAUAGGAGCUCCUGCUGCAUGGUGGGGGUUGGAAAGUUUCGGCGGUUGGGGCUGGACUCGCGGCUUAUCAGCUUGUUGGUGGGGUAGUGGCUUACCAAGGCUUUGACGGGUAGCCGGCCUGAGAGGGUGACCGGCCACAUUGGGACUGAGAUACGGCCCAGACUCCUACGGGAGGCAGCAGUGGGGAAUAUUGCACAAUGGGCGGAAGCCUGAUGCAGCAACGCCGCGUGCGGGAUGACGGCCUUCGGGUUGUAAACCGCUUUCGCCUGUGACGAAGCGUGAGUGACGGUAAUGUGUAAAGAAGCACCGGCUAACUACGUG
rnacentral:rRNA from 1 species